CCCUUCUUUGGGAUCAUGAAAUAAAGGCAAGUAGAAACAGUCGGUCUUGUGGGAUGGAACGGUUCUAUAGCCCCUUUUUGUAGGAAUGAGUCUCUCUCUUUCCACAGGGUGGCAUCUGGGUACAUGAUUGUGAUUCCAGAGUCUGAGUGACAUUCUAUAAGCUCUAUGACAUAACCUGAGCGGAUGAUGGUAAGUACCCAAAUUGUCCGUAGUGAUGUUCUCACACACUUCCAGGUAAGAUUGUAGACACAUUCCAGUAUGAGGGCAGUCAUGUUCACUUUGGUAGGAUGAGGACUCGCCUUGUUCUGGAAAGAUUUGUUGGAGGAAAAGGGUUUCUUCUUAAAUUGUUGGUAUCUUUUGUUGAUGAGAGGAGUGAUCCAACUGGGAGAUUUCCGAGGACAUGGAGGAUGGAGUUAUUUGCCCUAUCAAGCUUGGUAAAUCUUGAGUUAGAAAAAGAGGUUAACUUCAUAGAUUUGGCAGUAUUUCGGAGGUUUUGUACCCGCUCCAUUGUAUCAUCUGUUUUGGCCCCAAAUAAGUCUAGCCCAUCAAAUGGGAGAUUUUCAAUCAAUGUCUUUGCUUCCAGAGCUAACCCUGAUAAAGCAAAGCCAUGCGUGUGGUAGCAGUGCUAUAGAGCUAGCCAUGGUUCUGGCAGCACAGUCAGUGGAAUGCCUGGAUAUGUGCAGGAGUUGUUUAUUUAGCUUGAAUGCUUCAAGUUGUAGAGCAAGCACCACUUCCUUUUUCUAUGGAGUAAGGCAUCCAAAUGUUAUGAUAGCUUUUCCCAUAAGAGCUGGUUAUACCUGGACAUGCAUGUCUGGUAGUUAGCGAUAUUUAGUUGUAGUCAGGCUGUGGAAUAAAGACAUCUGCCACUGGAGUCUACGUUUCUGCCCUCUCUAUACAUCGGCACAGAUAGGGCCUUGUUCCUAGAUCUAAUUUGUGCUGCCUCCACAACAAUGGACUUUGGAGUGGGGUGUUUUUGUGGAAAAGGACAAUUGUCCAGUUGUACUUUGUAGAAGUUUUAAAUCUGUUUAAAUGUUAGAAUAACAGAUUCCGCAUUCUCUGCAGUGGUAAUAGCAGGAACGAUGACUAUCCUUUCAUAAUUCUUGUAAUACUGGUCUUUCUCCGGGACCAUACCGAUAAAAGAAGUAGUCAUAUCUAUUUGGUGAAUAGGAAAAAGAAGGGUAUGCAUCUCUGCAAUGUCUGUCCCUGUAUCUAUUCCGAGAAGAGGAUUGCUGGAACAGAUCUUCUUUUUGAGGUGGAGAAUAACCAGUUAGAGAUGACCAAAUCCUUGUCAGUGUUAAACUUGACUUCUUCUCUGUCUGUAUCCGCUAGGUCUGUAUCCGAAGGUAGAAUGGAUUCCCGAGGCUCUACUGGUACCGGAGCAGCUUUGUCGUCAGUACCAACAGGGUGCAGUGUUUUAUUUUCUUGUACUGGUUAGAGUGCUGGACUAGGACCGGGGAGACCCGAGUUCAAAUCCCCAUUCAGCCAUGAUACUAGCUGGGUGACUCUGGGCCAGUCACUUCUCUCUCAGCCUAACCUACUUCACAGGGUUGUUGUGCGGAGAAACUUAAGUAUGUAGUACACCGCUCUGGACUCCUUGGAGGAAGAGCGGGAUAUAAAUGUAAAAAUAAAUACAUACAUACAUACAUACAUACAUACAUACUUCACUAUGGAUCUGCAAUGCCUCUGCUUGGGUUCUGCAUUUGCAUGAAGACUGCUGCAACUGCCUUCUUUUUCUUUGGUAUUGAGGCCUGCAUCUGUUCAGGUUUUUUCUUUUUUUGUCUUUGGUUCCAACAGCAUCAAUGUCAAGGUAGGGGCAGGGUCCACUCACCCCUUGGUAUCCAUCACCAGUCCCAAGCAGCGUUCCCUCUAAGGCAUGUCCGUGUGUGAAUGAUCACACAUUUUUCUAUGUCCACUCAGUUAAUUUUAGAUCCCGCUCAGGUGGAUUCAGGAAGGCCUCACUCUUAAUGCACGUGUGCACACACUGCCUUGAGACUGCCACCCAGAACAAAACUCAUUCUGCACACAGAUGAAAAAAAUUAGAGAGAACACUGGUCCUAAGGGAGCCAGCAUUAUUUGUCCAGGAGUGGAUAGUAUCUAAGGGUUUGUUGAAGGAGGAACUGACAGUCAGAGGAAGUGUAGAGUGCUACAAGUCUGGGAUCAGAGUCCCAGUGCCCGAAAGCUCUGUAGUUUUGGAGGGAGCUUUAGACAGCAGGUGGUCGAUAGAUGCACCACCUACAAUUUCUGUAGGGCUCUCUUCCACAAUAGAGACCUGUCUGGAAAUUCUGUUACUUCACACUUGACUCGUGAAUUUUUGGCAGUGUACACACGAUGUGCAAUUCACCAAAGCAGAAGAGGCAGAGCUGAUGACCAUCAGAUGAAGGAAAUUUUACUCUACAAUUAGUGUAGCAUUUAAAUGUAGUUUUGUUAGCCAUAUAAUUAUGGAUUUAGUGAUCACCUGUCCCCUCAAAAGGAGGAGAAUGGGGAAAGGGGGAAGGGGGCAGGGACUCAUAGCAAAUAAAAAUGCAAACCAUUAAAGCAAGGAAGCUACUAUAACAAAAGAAACACUAAAGUUGAAGGAAACUAUAAGAAAAAACAAUAGAGAUAGUACUUGUUUUUCAGUAAAUAAGCUGGAAGCUUUCCAACAGGCCUGAGGUGGACGACGAAAAACCGAGCAGAAAGGAGCUAGACACAUGAACUCAAAGCACAAGGGGAGGAGCUACCGCCAAAAAGAAUAAGAGAGAAGAGACGCUUGGAAAGUUCCCAAACAAGCUUUUAUGCAAGUGCAAAGCCCAGUUGUGUGAUGGGCAAAAACCACCCAGAAGAAAUUCCAUUGUUUUUUGCAUAGGGGCACCAACUCUUGUCUUUGCAGUCUGAUCAGCACCUCUAUUCUCCUGCUUUCUCUAGUUUCAAAGAACUAAGUUGUAUGGGCUCAGUGGCAGAGCAUCUGCUGUGCAUGCAGAAAGUCCCACGUUGAAUCCCUGGCAUCUCCAGAUAGGGCUGGGAGAGAUUCCUGUCAGUCAGUGUAGGCAAUACUGAGCUAGAUGGACCAAUAUUCUGAUUUGGCAUAAGGCAGCUUCCUAGUUCCUAUGAUAUUGUAAACAAGUUGUUCUAGUAAGAACUAAUGUGCCUACUUUCCUUUCACUGUCUCUACAACUGGACCAAAUUUGGUUCAAAUCAAUGUCUACAAGUUAGAUCUCUUGUGCCUCAAAUGUUCAUGCGUCCACCAUCUUGGAUCAGGGUGGAUAACAUCAUUACCAAGAACACCAUUGAGGUGUCCCUGUGUGUCACUCACUACAACUGUACCAAAUUUGGUUCCAAUCAGUUAGACAGUCCUCAAGUUAGCCUACUUGCGCCUCAAAAGUUUACAUGUCCACCAUCUUGAAUUGACAUGGAUGACAUCCAUCACAAUCUACAUUGUUGAGGUGUCCCUAUGUGUCCCUACAACUGUACCUGAUUUGGUUCAUAUUGGUCCAGGCAUUACGAAGUUGAUGGGUGGGCCACACACACACACACACGGACAGAUACACACACACACACACACACAGAGAGAAUGCCGGGUGAUCUCAUAAUCCUCCCGGAAAGUAGGCUAAAAAGGAGAAAACAGCUGUCCCUAUUCAACCCAGGACAGUGUCUAGUGGCUGUGGCACUUGUGUUUCUUUUCAGACUGUGAGUCCCUUUGGGACAGGAAACCAUCUUAUUUCUUUUGCUUUGUAAACCACUCUAACUUAUUUAAUAACAAAUAAAUGUUAAAUAGUGGCAAGUAUUAAUACUAAAAAAGAAGGAAGUAUUAAAAUCUCUUGCAUCAUCAACACCCCAAUUCUAAAUAGACUGGACAUGCACUAAAUGCAAUCUCCAGUCAAAGUCAUAGUAAUGUAAAUAGGAGCAUGCUUAACUUUCUCCCAUGGAUAACAACAGGACCUAAAAAGUGUUUAACUUUGCCUAGUCACACCCAUUACAUAGAAGGAAGUUUCAUUGAAAAGCUGCGAAGCAAAGUUAGACAAGCUUCAUAGACAAGCUAUAUUUGUCCAGCCCUGAGUUUGCCUUUUUAUUAUUUUAAUUGUCUCACUCACAUCUUUCAGCAAUGAUGUGAAAGAUUCCUUGAACCUUUUAAGUGGUGGAGUUCUAUUUAUACAAUCCCCCUGAUAAAAGGAAAGUUGCAGUCUUUCCCGCGAUUCUACAUUUUGCUCCCAAGUAGAUCUCUGUGGGUUAGAACUCUUGUGUUAAAUAAGACCCUAUUUUAAAGCAAUAUCAAAUCCAUUUAGAAGUUUUUUUGGAGGGGGAGGAUGCUUUUAGGGUGGUUUUUUUUAGAACUUCUAAUUGUUGAGGAGAGUCUGCCUUGGCCGAUUUUUGGCUCUAGUCUAGGGAAGUCAGAAGCAGGGGGAGGUGGACAUCAGGGAGCAGGGGUAGGUGGCCAUCACCUUCCCCAGUCUCAUUAAUAAUCUUUCCUACAACCACCCCUAGUUCCAGGUAGGGAGGCUGGGAGACAUUCCUGCCAGAGGCCUUGAAGAAUCAUUAACAGUCGGAGCAGACAGUACUUGGGGUAGGGGGACCAAGGGUCUUACAGUAUAACAUAGCUUUGGAUGUCCAUAUAUACAAAAAUUGUAGAUAGCCUUAUUGGUCCAUAUAGAAAAAAAUCCAAAAGCUACAGUAAGACAAUACUACUGCUACUGCUACUAAUAAUAAUAAACCACUUUUGGAAACAAAAGUUUGCAAAGCUAUCCAUGCAGAAAAAUAAAUAAAUUGAUAGAGAAAUAAAUAAUUUAAAAAAUUGGUUCCCUAUCCGCAAAGCACUGCCAAUCUAAAAAUGGUCAAAAUGUUUGUUAGGAUCAACUAAAAUAUCACAAUAAGCUUUCAAAUUCUCCAGAACUAUCCUUCAGGCUGGAUGUUAAAAUAAGGCAAUCCUGUGUGUUCUACUUAGUGCUGCAAACCGAUCAAGUAAAAGGUGGAUUUUGCAUUUUCAGAACAAUGGGGGAACAACCAUUAUUGACCAGCGACCAGAUUUGCAGCAAAUUGUCACCUUGGAGGCAAACUGCCGCUCCCAGGGGGUUGAGAUUUUCUGAGUGCAAACAGCAGGGAGGGGGAGUGCUGAACCCACCCCCACCACAUGCCACAAUCUCAGCCUGGAUCUGAUGCCCUAUAGCUAAUUUUUAAAGAUAAAAGGACCACCUCUGGUCCACUUCCAGUUUAAGCCCAACUUCCAAUGACGGCUUAAUGUCAUGUGUAGUAAUCUAAUCAAGUCUGCCUAACACCUCUGCACUCUGUUUUUAAGACUGUAAAUGCCAGACUUUGGGGCUCUAACAUCAUGCCCACCUUUUUCUCCCCCUGCCCCUUUUUGCUUAGCAUCCAGCCUGAAGACGACUUCCAGCGAAAUCAAAAGUCUGUUCAGUGUCACCAACUACUCUGCAGCAUUUUAGUCGUGAAUUUGAAAUCAAGACAUUACCCCACUGCGAAUUCUGGAGAGUGCUCAGAUUCUCGUCAAGGAGGAGAAGUCUACUGAGAAUUCAUGUUGUUCAGUCUACAGCUCCCAUCAUCUCCAAUCACAACAGAAUGACACCGUUUGUGAACCAUGUGUAUAAGAAAACAGAUUUCCUAAACUUAAUAUAUAACCUUACUCACCUUUUAAACCUAUUCCUUCUUUGCUUUCAUGCACUGCCCAUGAAUAAGAGCUGAUAGGAAAUCUUUCAACUAUCUUCCCAACCUCGAUUUUCUAAGCGAUAUUGUCCUCCUGAUUUUCAACCUGUCUCCAAAACAUGACACCCUGGGCAUUGUUAGAAAAACAGACGGAGGAAGAGGGGAGAGAGCAAGACUGCAUCCAGAGCCAAAGUGAGCAGCAUAAAGGAGACUGAAAGGACUGUUAUCCCAGCACAUUCUCCUAAGAGAUUAACAGUAUGCAGUGGAGAAAAGGGGAGGGAGAUCUUUAACAAAGCUGCUUCUUAAAUGAGAUUUUACAAAACUACAGCAGAUGUGGGAGGGGAGCCAGAGGGGGACUGGUUAAUUAUUAAUCUGUUCAGCUGAUUUGCAAAGAAAAAGGGAGAGGGAAGCAGGAGACCAGAACAUUUUGGUGUUGAUUUCUCAUAGAGCACAAAACUUAAUUGUGCAAACCAAACCCUGGCUGACAACAAGAAAUGGCUAUAGACAUGGUAUCUUCAUUCAACUAAAUAUCAUCAGGAAUAUCCCUUGGAAGCUACAAAUGCUGAAAAGGUUUCCUGUUCCACUGUGCAUUUGUAUUAGAGAUCAAACUUAUGUAGUCUUAGGCUGGUUUCACAUGUUUGUUUCACCUGGCUGGAACUAGCAAGCCUGCUGCAGACACCUUGCAGCAUGCAUUUUGCUACUGAAGCUUAAAAUGAAACGGGGUUUGCACAGAGACUUAUGAGAAAGAACAACACAAAAUGGUGAUUUCUGUAAAGAGAUUACAAGUUACACAUCUUGCUACUGCAGUCACAUGUGUUUUCUGUCUGUGGUUCUUGUCACAUGUGUUUUCUGUCUUAAGUCUGAGACUCCUCUUCCUGCUCUCUGAUUGGCACAUAUCAGACACACCCACCUAGGGCUUGGCAUUUGAUCAUUCAAAAAAGAUCUGGUUGGCAACCAUGCAAAUAUUGUCAAGUAUUUUUUAAUGCAUUAACUUUAUUAGAACAAAAAAUAUAAUUUAACUAGCUGACCCUGCACAGAGCAUCUGUGCGGUCAUGCACUGAGCCUGUGGCAUUCCCCCCCCACACACACACAAUUCUCUCGCUCGCUCUCGCUGCACCCCACAACUCUCUUGCUGCGCCCCACAAUGCUCAGGCCCCCCAACAACUCUCUCACUCGCUUUCGCCGCCUCCGCAACGCUCUCUCUCUCUGUCCUCCGUCUUUCUAUCUCUGUCUCGCAGUCCUUGCUUCCCCCUGCUUCUGCCAGGGACUGUCACACACUCACCUGACAGCUCCGAGCUCCCUGCCGCUUCAGGGUGCAGGUUAGCCAACUGUCUGCCGCCCACAGCUCCCAGAGCCAACUGUCCAGCUCCCAAAGCCACCCCCAGCCUCUGAGCUCCUUGCCACUUCACGGAGCCCCCAAGCCAACUGUCAAACUGCUUUCCAGCCACCCCGUAAAACUCCCUGCUGCUUCAGAACUCUCUCCCCCUCUGUCAGCCAAUUGCCUCCUUUCUGCCACGCCCCCACGCAUGGCCCAUCUUGGAGAAUUAAUAAUAUAGAUCAUCAAGGUUAAUACUUAUGCGAAUUAUAAAAGCAGAUUAGUUAACUGUUAUUGUGAAACAAUGAAAUUAACUUUUUUAAAGUUUAAAGUUUCUAGACCUGAGUCCAGCUCCUCACAAGAGCUUUAAGGAACAGACAGCUGAACCACAGGCAGGGGCUAUUCACUGCAGCAAGCAGUAUGAAGUCAUGGGUGGUCCCAGGCAGUAGCUUUUGCUACCAGUGACAGCUUGCGGUCUUCUUCUUGUUGCAGUAGGGGCGAGUCUGAGAAUCUUUGCUAGCUUUGCCUGACUGCUACAGGGCUAGGGGGCAAGCAGCCUUCGUCCCUGCCCUUGCUAACAGAUGAUACCAUGACGACAUUUUAAGAGGUACGUCACCACCUACAUUAUGGCAUUCGUGGCUUAAUGGAAUAUUUGUCAAUAUCUGACAGCAGUCACAUAAUAGGCAAUCAAUUGACUGGUGUGCAAAGACCUUACAGCCACCACCAGUUAGGAGAGAGCAAGUCAGCAGAGUUUUUACAAGAGGUGCAGCAAAAAUCAGAAGUGACAAAAAUACAGGAAAGAGGGCAACUGCCACACCACUGGGGUACACACUGCAUGUCAUCUGUGUCCCACAAGAGUCACUGCUCUGGCAUGGAAGCAUAAAGUGGAGAAACACCCUUUCAGAUUACAAUAGGGGAAAGAGGCAGCAUGUGGCUCUUAUACUGAAGGGUUUUCUGUUUUUUGCUAAGUGGCUUGUGCUUGAAAAAGAGUGAAGAUCACUGCUCUAUACAUAGGAAGCAGCUAUAUUGAGUAAAUCCAUUGAUCCAUCUAGCUCAGUAUUGUCUACAUACUGAUUGACAGCAGCCCUCCAAGGUUUCAGGCAGGAGAGGAGUCUCUCCAGCCCUACCUGAAGAUGCCAGGGAUUGAUGCCGAUAAUCACAAAAGCAGAUUGAACUUGAGGCCUUCUGCAUGCAAAGCAGAUGCUCUGCUACUGAGCUAGGAUGCCAAACAAAGUUGGUGUAUUAGAAAACAGGAUUCCCAAACUUAAUAUAUAACAUUCAACCGCUCACUGUAUAAAAUCAGUGUGUGUAACCCAAGGAUAGGUGCUCCUGAACAAUAGUCACAUGUGGUCUGAAAUAUUAGGGGGCAGGUUAUCUCUUCUGCCCUGCCUAACUGCCUUGUUUUUCAGGUUGAGGCAGUGGCCAGGAGCGCUUUUUUUCAGCUUCGGCUGAUACGUCAGCUACGUCCAUUUCUAGAGGUAAAUGGCCUUAAAACAGUGGUACAUAUGCUGGUAACCUCCAGGCUUGACUACUGCAAUGCACUCUACGUGGGGCUGCCUUUGUACAUAGUUCAGAAACUACAAUUGGUACAGAAUGCAGCAGCCAGAUUGGUCUCUGGAACCAUAUGAAGGGACUAUAUAACACCAAUUCUGAAAGAACUGCACUGGUGGCCGAUAUGUUUCUGGAUUUCUGGGUGAAAUACAAAGUGCUGGUUAUUACCUAUAAAGCCCUUAACGGCUUAGGUCCUGGCUAUUUAAGAGAGCCUCCUUUGUCAUAAACCCUGCCGCCUGUUACGAUCUUCUGGAGAAGUCCGGUUACAGAUACCACUGGUGGCUUGUUUGGUGGCGACCCAGGAUUGGGCUUUCUCUGUGGCUGCUGUAGGGCUUUGGAAUAUGCUCCCUGCUGAAAUAAGAGCAUCUCCUUCUCUGUUUGUUUUCAGGAAGACCCUCAAGACUUUCCUGUUCUAGCAAGCCUUUAAUUAGAAUUUUAAUAAUUUGCUUUAAUAACUGUUUAAUAUUAUUGUUUUUAUUGUGUCUUGUGUAUUUUAAUCUGUGUUGACUUUUAAAUAUUUUAAAUUUUGUACACUGCCUAGCAAUGUAUAUAUCAGGUGGUAUAGAGAUAUGAUAAACAAGCAAACAAACAAGAUAUUGGGAUGGCACCUGUACUCUACUGAGCCAGGGAUGUUAUCAUAAUCUUGCCUUGGUAUCAAAGGACAGCCCUACCAUUUCAGGUCCAAACAUCAAAUUCUUAUCAUUCUUGACCCUCAGUGCAGUAGCCAUCUUAGCCUUUUGGAGCAAAAACAAUAAAAAGCUUUUGUGUCA